CGAAGGGGCUAGCGUUGUUCGGAAUUACUGGGCGUAAAGCGCGCGCAGGCGGUCUUCCAAGUCAGUGGUGAAAGCCUGGAGCUCAACUCCAGAACUGCCAUUGAAACUGUUAGACUUGAGUACGAGAGAGGUGAGUGGAAUUCCCAGUGUAGAGGUGAAAUUCGUAGAUAUUGGGAAGAACACCAGUGGCGAAGGCGGCUCACUGGCUCGUAACUGACGCUCAGGCGCGACAGCGUGGGGAUCAAACAGGAUUAGAUACCCUGGUAGUCCACGCCGUAAACGAUGAAUGCUAGCCGUUGGAUAGCUUGCUAUUCAGUGGCGCAGCUAACGCAUUAAGCAUUCCGCCUGGGGAGUACGGCCGCAAGGUUG
rnacentral:rRNA from 1 species